AAUGAUUCUUUAACAGUCUCCUCUUUGGCUUCCUCCGUGCACAACGUAUCUCUCUCUCGCUCUGCAUCUGGAUCCUCUUCCAUCUGGGUCGCGGGUGUGCCAGGGCAAGUAAAGUGUGUCCUAAAGGCUUUUCGCCACGUGAGCCUCGUCCACUCACACCCCCCACCUGCGUGCCUAGUGACACCCCCUGCCACACCCGUCCCAGCAACGACAAGCUGAGCCAUCAGGCGAAGAUGGAUUCGCCGAACCCAGUGCACGGGAGGAUCUACGCCUUGGAGGGACUCCCCAGAUUUUCUAUCAUCCUUCUCCUCCUUCCGAUAAAUCCACCCGCUUGGAAACCCGAGAAGACAAACGACGCUGUAAGAAUGAAACCCACGAGGACGAAUAUUGGAAGAAGUAUCGACACAAUCGGGAUGAGGAGCGUGGUAAAGAAAAUUCGUCCGGUUCCAAAAUCUGUGUAAAAUAAUCCGCCCGACCAGUUUCCUGUCCAUCUUCCACCGCUUGGCAAAACGUUGACUCCAAGGUCCGAAAUGCAAAUGAAGAUUCAGACCAAGAUGCGUAAGUUAUUAUUGGGAUAAAAAGUGGGACACAACAAUGUGCAAGGAUGAGAGUGAUGCUGUACCAGGUUGCAAAAAAUCGGUAUUUUAAAUUUUAAUGCAUACAUUUGUCUAAUAACAUGUGUUAUUUGUAAGUACUACAUAUGAUUCACCAAAUACCAAAUACAGUACAUGCAUAGCCAACUUUGUACAAUUUUCCUACGUAUGUAUUUAUGCAUUAUAAUUAUUUUACGAACUUUACCAAAAUACUUCGAAGAUGUGGGCAAAUUUACAAUAAAUUUUACUCUGAGCUUUUUUAA